UGAUUAGCUCAGCUGGGAGAGCACCUCCCUUACAAGGAGGGGGUCGGCGGUUCGAUCCCAAA
rnacentral:tRNA from 1 species